rnacentral:lncRNA from 1 species
UUUGUUUAUCUUUUUUUUCAACAUGGUGUUGUCCAUCAGGAGUCUUGCUUCUAAAUUAGUAAGAAAACUGCUGUUUCAAGAUAUCGGGGGCAUGGUUUUCUAAGUUGAGGGGCUCUUGAUUGUGUUUGUGCUCUGCUACUUGAUGCAAAUACAAACACUUCACAGUUGUAUGACACUGAAACUGUUGAACCUGUGGUGAAUGGGUUCAGGCUUGGUCAGUUAUCUGGUUUCAGUAAGGAUUUGAUAGAAUGAUUUGGUGUGUAGCGAUUGUGUGACCAGUGUCCCUGAACUGUGACUAACUCUUAAAAUUUGGGUUGGGCCUAACUCAACCUUACAAAACCGGCCUCUUAAGGGCUUUUUUGUUGGCAACAGCUUCAGCAUGGGCUGAUUUUGCAUAAGCAUGUUCAAAGUGGAGACCAGUUAGCUGAUAUUUUCCCUAAAGCUUCGGACAGAAACAGUGUGAAUACUAUGGGUAUGAUUGUUUCAAGGCAUGGAAAUCUAUUCCCAGGAAUAUAUGGAUUGAUAAUGUGCAUUCACAUAUCUGUUACCACGGCUGUUAGGGGUUGACGGUUGUUAUAUGCCCUGGUUUUUAGGAGUCAGUAGCUUAAAGAUCUUCUCCC